GACGAACGCUGGCGGCGUGCCUAAUACAUGCAAGUAGAACGCUGAAGGAGGAGCUUGCUUCUCUGGAUGAGUUGCGAACGGGUGAGUAACGCGUAGGUAACCUGCCUGGUAGCGGGGGAUAACUAUUGGAAACGAUAGCUAAUACCGCAUAAGAGUAGAUGUUGCAUGACAUUUGCUUAAAAGGUGCAAUUGCAUCACUACCAGAUGGACCUGCGUUGUAUUAGCUAGUUGGUGAGGUAACGGCUCACCAAGGCGACGAUACAUAGCCGACCUGAGAGGGUGAUCGGCCAAACUGGGACUGAGACACGGCCCAGACUCCUACGGGAGGCAGCAGUAGGGAAUCUUCGGCAAUGGACGGAAGUCUGACCGAGCAACGCCGCGUGAGUGAAGAAGGUUUUCGGAUCGUAAAGCUCUGUUGUAAGAGAAGAACGAGUGUGAGAGUGGAAAGUUCACACUGUGACGGUAUCUUACCAGAAAGGGACGGCUAACUACGUG
rnacentral:rRNA from 1 species